GUGCUUGCUUCAACAGCACAUAUAGUAAAAUUGGAAUGAUGCAGAGAAGAUUAACAUGGCCCCUGAGCAAGGAUGACAUGCAAAUUUGUGACAUGUUCCAUACAUAU
ensembl:snRNA U6 U6 spliceosomal RNA